AGUGAACGCUGGCGGUAGGCCUAACACAUGCAAGUCGAACGGCAGCACAGUAAGAGCUUGCUCUUACGGGUGGCGAGUGGCGGACGGGUGAGGAAUACAUCGGAAUCUACUUUUUCGUGGGGGAUAACGUAGGGAAACUUACGCUAAUACCGCAUACGACCUACGGGUGAAAGCAGGGGAUCUUCGGACCUUGCGCGAUUGAAUGAGCCGAUGUCGGAUUAGCUAGUUGGCGGGGUAAAGGCCCACCCAGGCGACGAUCCGUAGCUGGUCUGAGAGGAUGAUCGGCCACACUGGAACUGAGACACGGUCCAGACUACUACGGGAGGCAGCAGUGGGGAAUAUUGGACAAUGGGCGCAAGCCUGAUCCAGCCAUACCGCGUGGGUGAAGAAGGCCUUCGGGUUGUAAAGCCCUUUUGUUGGGAAAGAAAAGCAGCAGGUUAAUACCCCGCUGUUCUGACGGUACCCAAAGAAUAAGCACCGGCUAACUUCGUG
rnacentral:rRNA from 1 species